AGAUAGAAACCGACCUGGCUCACSCCGGUUUAAACUCAGAUCAUGUAAAAUUUUAAAGGUCGAACAGACCUAAUAUACUAGCUUCUACACCAAUAAUUAAUUUUAAUCCAACAUCGAGGUCGCAACCUUUUUUUUCGAUAAGAACUCUAAAAAAAAUUACGCUGUUAUCCCUAAGGUAAUUUAAUCUUAUAAUCUAAACUUUAGGAUCAUUAAAUCAUAAAUCAAUGUUUUUAUACAAAAAAAGUUUUAUCAAUUUUUCCAUCACCCCAACAAAAUAUGCAAAAAAAAUCUAAAUUUUAAAUUCUUUAAAUAUAAUUAUUUUAAUUACAUAUAAAACUCUAUAGGGUCUUCUCGUCUUCCAUUUUAAUUUAAGCUUUUUAACUUAAAAAUAAAAUUCUAAUAAAAUUUUCUAGAGACAGUAAUCUUCUCAUUAAACCUUUCAUUCAAGCUUUCAAUUAAAAAACUAGUGAUUAUGCUACCUUUGCACGGUCAAAAUACCGCGGCCAUUUAACUCCUCAGUGGGCAGGUCAGACCUAAAAUCAUAUUCAACAGGCCAUGUUUUUAAUAAACAGGCG
rnacentral:rRNA from 1 species